AUUGAACGCUGGCGGCAGGCUUAACACAUGCAAGUCGAGCGGAGAUGAGGUGCUUGCACCUUAUCUUAGCGGCGGACGGGUGAGUAAUGCUUAGGAAUCUGCCUAUUAGUGGGGGACAACAUUCCGAAAGGAAUGCUAAUACCGCAUACGUCCUACGGGAGAAAGCAGGGGAUCUUCGGACCUUGCGCUAAUAGAUGAGCCUAAGUCGGAUUAGCUAGUUGGUGGGGUAAAGGCCUACCAAGGCGACGAUCUGUAGCGGGUCUGAGAGGAUGCUCCGCCACACUGGGACUGAGACACGGCCCAGACUCCUACGGGAGGCAGCAGUGGGGAAUAUUGGACAAUGGGGGGAACCCUGAUCUAGCCAUGCCGCGCGUGUGAAGAAGGCCUUAUGGUUGUAAAGCACUUUAAGCGAGGAGGAGGCUACUGAGACUAAUACUCUUGGAUAGUGGACGUUACUCGCAGAAUAAGCACCGGCUAACUCUGUGCCAGCCGCCGCAGUAAUAC
rnacentral:rRNA from 1 species